UACAUGGGGUGCAAACGUUGCUCGGAAUUAUUGGGCGUAAAGCGCGCGUAGGCGGUUACUUAAGUCGGAUGUGAAAGCCCUCGGCUUAACUGAGGAAGUGCACCCGAAACUGAGUAGCUAGAGUACGAAAGGGGGUCGCGGAAUUCCCGGUGUAGAGGUGAAAUUCGUAGAUAUCGGGAGGAACACCGGUGGCGAAGGCGGCGACCUGGGUCGAGACUGACGCUGAGGCGCGAAAGCGUGGGGAGCAAACAGG
rnacentral:rRNA from 1 species